CCCAGACUCCUACGGGAGGCAGCAGUGGGGGAUAUUGCACAAUGGGGGAAACCCUGAUGCAGCGACGCCGCGUGGGUGAAGAAGCGCCUCGGCGCGUAAAGCCCUGUCAGCAGGGAAGAAAAUGACGGUACCUGAAGAAGAAGCCCCGGCUAACUACGUGCCAGCAGCCGCGGUAAUACGUAGGGAGCGAGCGUUGUCCGGAUUUACUGGGUGUAAAGGGUGCGUAGGCGGCUAUGCAAGUCAGUAGUGAAAUCCAUGGGCUUAACCCAUGAACUGCUAUUGAAACUGCACAGCUUGAGUGAAGUAGAGGUAGGCGGAAUUCCCGGUGUAGCGGUGAAAUGCGUAGAGAUCGGGAGGAACACCAGUGGCGAAGGCGGCCUACUGGGCUUUAACUGACGCUGAGGCACGAAAGCGUGGGUAGCAAACAGGAUUAGAUACCCGGGUAAAG
rnacentral:rRNA from 1 species